rnacentral:rRNA from 1 species
AUUGAACGCUGGCGGCAGGCUUAACACAUGCAAGUCGAACGAUGAAACUCUAGCUUGCUAGAGAAGAUUAGUGGCGGACGGGUGAGUAACAUUUAGGAAUCUGCCUAGUAGUGGGGGAUAGCUCGGGGAAACUCGAAUUAAUACCGCAUACGACCUACGGAUGAAAGGGGGCGCAAGCUCUUGCCAUUAGAUGAGCCUAAAUCAGAUUAGCUAGUUGGUGGGGUAAAGGCCUACCAAGGCGACGAUCUGUAACUGGUCUGAGAGGAUGAUCAGUCACACCGGAACUGAGACACGGUCCGGACUCCUACGGGAGGCAGCAGUGGGGAAUAUUGGACAAUGGGGGCAACCCUGAUCCAGCCAUGCCGCGUGUGUGAAGAAGGCCUUUUGGUUGUAAAGCACUUUAAGCAGGGAGGAGAGGCUAAUGGUUAAUACCCAUUAGAUUAGACGUUACCUGCAGAAUAAGCACCGGCUAACUCUGUGCCAGCAGCCGCGGUAAUACAGAGGGUGCGAGCGUUAAUCGGAAUUACUGGGCGUAAAGCGAGUGUAGGUGGCUCAUUAAGUCACAAGUGAAAUCCCCGGGGCUUAACCUGGGGAACUGCAUGUGAUACUGGUGGUGCUAGAAUAUGUGAGAGGGAAGUAGAAUUCCAGGUGUAGCGGUGAAAUGCGUAGAGAUCUGGAGGAAUACCGAUGGCGAAGGCAGCUUCCUGGCAUAAUAUUGACACUGAGAUUCGAAAGCGUGGGUAGCAAACAGGAUUAGAUACCCUGGUAGUCCACGCCGUAAACGAUGUCUACUAGCCGUUGGGGUCCUUGAGACUUUAGUGGCGCAGUUAACGCGAUAAGUAGACCGCCUGGGGAGUACGGCCGCAAGGUUAAAACUCAAAUGGAUUGACGGGGGCCCGCACAAGCGGUGGAGCAUGUGGUUUAAUUCGACGCAACGCGAAGAACCUUACCUGGUCUUGACAUAGUGAGAAUCCUGCAGAGAUGCGGGAGUGCCUUCGGGAACUCACAUACAGGUGCUGCAUGGCUGUCGUCAGCUCGUGUCGUGAGAUGUUGGGUUAAGUCCCGCAACGAGCGCAACCCUUUUCCUUAUUUGCCAGCGGGUUAAGCCGGGAACUUUAAGGAUACUGCCAGUGACAAACUGGAGGAAGGCGGGGACGACGUCAAGUCAUCAUGGCCCUUACGACCAGGGCUACACACGUGCUACAAUGGUAGGUACAGAGGGUUGCUACACAGCGAUGUGAUGCUAAUCUCAAAAAGCCUAUCGUAGUCCGGAUUGGAGUCUGCAACUCGACUCCAUGAAGUCGGAAUCGCUAGUAAUCGCAGAUCAGAAUGCUGCGGUGAAUACGUUCCCGGGCCU